rnacentral:lncRNA from 1 species
CAACAGUGCAUUUAAAUUUUCCUGCAGAGAGGAAAUAUGCAGAUCACAAUGAAGGACAAGCUGUGAAAUGCCUAGAUUCCAGAGCAACAGACUGUGAUCCAUUCCCAACAACCCCUCCCUACCGUCUGCCACCAGUUCCCUUAAAGCAGGAAUCAGAGCUAGACUGACUCAACUAAGAAUUGUUUUGGAGAACUUGGAACUCAACAUUCCAUAAAGGCAAGAAGCUUGACAUAGCAUCGAUGAGCCCAAGUCAACUAUAUGAACAAAACAAUGUCUCAGGAGGGGCAGGGUAUCACGUCAGAAGAAUCCUGAGUCCUUAGAUGACCUUGUAGAAAAGAGCCACAAACUUACUCUGGGCUACCUUCAUACCUCUGAACUAUUAUGCAGAGAGAAAUAAAUGUAUUCAAAUCACUGUUUUUUGGGUUUCUUCAUUCAUGUAGCUUAGCCUAUAACCUAAGUAA